AAAUAAUAAUAUCUCUUUAUUUUAAAAGGUACACCAUGAGAUACUUUUUAUUUUUUAAAAGAUAUAAAAAAAACUGUGGGUAAUUAAAGAUGGCCAAUGGGCCGGGCGGCACGUGGCACGACAUGGGUACGACACGUGUCCGUACGGCACGAGCACGUUUCAGUAGGGCACGAGGCGCGGCACGACACACAAGUGGGCCGUACCGAGCCUAGAAUUUUAGGCACGCGGGCCUCAAAAACAUGAUACGAUUAAAGAUGAGAUAAAACACAGCACGCAAAAAAACACGUAAUAAGCACGGUUCAUUGGUAGGCUAGCACGCGGCCCAUGGGCCAUCAAUAGCACGUGGGCCAAAAUAUAUUUAAGUAAAUUAUUUUAAUAAAAAGUAAAUAUAAAAUGUUAUGAAAUUAAAGUAAA
rnacentral:lncRNA from 1 species